rnacentral:miRNA from 1 species
AUCUAUAUCUAUAUCUACAUCUAUGUAUCUAUAUAUAAAUGCAGAUAGAUAUAUAGAUGUAGAUAGAUAUAGAUAUAAAUC